rnacentral:lncRNA from 1 species
ACCUAUCAUCGACCGGUAUACCGUUUGAUCGACGAAUUUACCUCCCGUGUUGAGGUCAGGAUGCCCAUUGGUUCCCAUGGGUGUCUUGAUGGGCUUGGCAUCCUUCAUCCCAAACUUGUUUAGAAUGUCUUGAAUGUACUUCGUUUGGCUAAUGAAGGUGCCCCCUUGGAGUUGCUUCACUUGAAAUCCUAAGAAGUACUUCAACUCCCCCAUCAUAGACAUCUCGAAUUUCUGUGUCAUGAUCCUACUAAAUUCCUCACAUGUAGAUUCGUUAGUAGACCCAAAUAUAAUAUCAUCAACAUAAAUUUGGCAUACAAACAAAUCAUUGUCAAGAGUUUUAGUGAAUAAAGUAGGAUCAACCUUUCCGACUUUGAAGCCAUUAGUGAUAAGAAAAUCUCUUAGGCAUUCAUACCAUGCUCUUGGGGCUUGCUUGAGCCCAUAAAGCGCCUUAGAGAGUUUAUAUACAUGGUUAGGGUACUCACUAUCUUCAAAGCCAGGAGGUUUCUCAACAUAGACCUCCUCCUUGAUUGGUCCAUUGAGGAAGGCACUUUUCAUGUCCAUUUGAUAAAGCUUCAAGCCAUGGUAAGUAGCAUAGGCAAGUAAAAUGCGAAUUGACUCAAGCCUAGCUACGGGUGCAUAGGUUUCACCGAAAUCCAAACCUUUGACUUGUGAAUACCCCUUGGCCACAAGUCGGGCUUUGUUCCUUGUCACCACACCAUGCUCAUCUUGCUUGUUGCGGAAGACCCACUUGGUUCCUACAAUAUUUUGAUUAGGACGUGGAACUAAAUGCCAUACCUCGUUCCUAGUGAAAUUGUUGAGCUCCUCUUGCAUCGCCACAACCUAAUUCGAAUCUUGUAAUGCUUCCUCUACCCUAUGUGGCUCAAUAGAGGAAACAAAAGAGUAAUGUUCACAAAAAUGUGCAACACGAGAUCUAGUGGUUAUCCCCUUAUGAAUGUCGCCGAGGAUGGUGUCGACGGGGUGAUCUCGUUGGAUUGCUUGGUGGACUCUUGGGUGUGGUGGUUUUGAAACUUGUUCAUCUUCCUCAUCUUGAUCAUGGGGCAUCUCCCCCUUGAUCAUUGCUCCUCCUCUGGAGGUGGCUCAACAUUUUGAUUUUCUCCUUCAUCAUUUUGAGCUCCAUCCUUGUUGGGGGGCCUUCGGCUUCCGAAGGUCCUCAAAAACAUGAUUUGACAAUGUUUUCCAAGUAUGCGAGCAGGCAUCUUCAGAAUCAGGUUACGGGUAUACAAGAGCAUGGUCAAGACGAAGCUUGACUGGGAUGGAAGGCGAUCAUGACGAAGGAUGAGAUGAUCACGAAGCUAUAUGCAGAAAAGCUUCGGCAUGACAGCAGAAAAAGGAAACCGACUUAAAGAUGAAAAGCCAAAUUAGACCUCGAAGAAUUACUAGAGUUAUUGAUAAAUGUAAAGGGCAUUAAUGUAAUUUUACACGGGCUGCGUCCCGUGCCUAUAAAUAGAUGAACAGUAUUCCUGUACUGUUCACGCUGACUGGGCAUUCGCUUUAGCAUCACACUUGUACCCUUACUUUCCUUCAAGUCGAAGGUACAUUUGUAAUUUGUCGUUGUUUAUACAAGUAAUAUAAUAAAAGGAAUUAAUAAUAAUGUUCAAAUUAAUCAUGUUAUUUUCCGUGUUUUGUGUAUAAAUCUCUCUCAUCUUUUAUUAUGAUUAUGAAGGUGUGACCUUCAUAACCUUCGUCCGAAAUUUCUUAUAUCCGAAAGGGAAAUAAUGCUUCGAAGGACGAAGGGCUUUGAUAUUUAACAUUUUAUGUUGCCUUGUUCUUAAUUCAUAGCAUUUGAGAACAAGUCUCCAACAUUGGCG